ACUUGUCUAGCUCAGUUGGUAUACCACAAGGCUGUUAACCUCAAGGUUGUGGGUUCGAGCCCCAUUGUGAGCG
rnacentral:tRNA from 7 species